AGCCAUGCGAGUCAUUGUAGUAAUACAAGGCAGACGGCUCAGUAACGCGUAGUCAACCUAACCUAUGGACGGGAAUAACCUCGGGAAACUGAGUAUAAUGCCCGAUAGAACAUUAUGCCUGGAAUGGUUUAUGUUCCAAAUGAUUUAUCGCCGUAGGAUGGGACUGCGGCCUAUCAGUUUGUUGGUGAGGUAAUGGCCCACCAAGACUAUUACAGGUACGGGCUCUGAGAGGAGUAGCCCGGAGAUGGGUACUGAGACACGGACCCAGGCCCUAUGGGGCGCAGCAGGCGAGAAAACUUUGCAAUGUGCGAAAGCACGGCAAGGUUAAUCCGAGUGGUUUCUGCUAAAGGAACCUUUUGUCGGUCCUAGAAACACCGAUGAAUAAGGGGUGGGCAAGUUCUGGUGUCAGCCGCCGCGGUAAAACCAGCGCCUCAAGUGGUCAGGAUGAUUAUUGGGCCUAAAGCAUCCGUAGCCGGCUCUAUAAGUUUUCGGUUAAAUCUGUAUGCUCAACAUACAGGCUGCCGGGAAUACUGCAGAGCUAGGGAGUGGGAGAGGUAGACGGUACUCGGUAAGGAGGGGUAAAAUCCUUUGAUCUAUUGAUGACCCACCUGGGGCGAAAAGCGGUCUACCAAGAACACGUCCCGACGGUGAGGGAAUGAAAGCUUGGGGGAGCAAACCGGGAUUAGAUACCCCGGGUAGUCCCAGCUGUAAACUAUGCAAACUCAGUGAUGCAUUGGCUUGUGGCCAAUGCAGUGCUGCAGGGAAGCCCGUAAGUUUGCCGCCCUGGGAAGUACGUACGCAAGUAUGAAACUUAAAGGAUUGGCGGGG
rnacentral:rRNA from 1 species